rnacentral:rRNA from 1 species
CAGUCGCCGCGGGAAUACGGAGGGAGCUAGCGUUGUUCGGAAUUACUGGGCGUAAAGCGCACGUAGGCGGCUUUGUAAGUUAGAGGUGAAAGCCUGGAGCUCAACUCCAGAAUUGCCUUUAAGACUGCAUCGCUUGAAUCCAGGAGAGGUGAGUGGAAUUCCGAGUGUAGAGGUGAAAUUCGUAGAUAUUCGGAAGAACACCAGUGGCGAAGGCGGCUCACUGGACUGGUAUUGACGCUGAGGUGCGAAAGCGUGGGGAGCAAACAGGAUUAGAUACCCCUGUAGUCCCUGUCUCUUAUAC